CCUACGGGAGGCAGCAGUAGGGAAUCUUCCACAAUGGGCGAAAGCCUGAUGGAGCAACACCGCGUGGGUGAAGAAGGUCUUCGGAUCGUAAAACCCUGUUGUUAGAGAAGAAAGUGCGUGAGAGUAACUGUUCACGUUUCGACGGUAUCUAACCAGAAGCCCACGGCUAACUACGUUCCAGCAGCCGCCGUAAUACGUAGGUGGCAAGCGUUAUCCGGGUUUAUUGGGCGUAAAGGGAACGCAGGCGGUCUUGUAAGUCUGAUGGGAAAGACUUCGGCUUAACCGGAGUAGUGCAUUGGAAACUGGGAGACUUGAGUGCAGAAGAGGAGAGUGGAACUCCAUGUGUAGCGGUGAAAUGCGUAGAUAUAUGGAAGAACACCAGUGGCGAAGGCGGCUCUCUGGUCUGUAACUGACGCUGAGGUUCGAAAGCGUGGGUAGCAAACAGGAUUAGAUACCCCUGUAGUC
rnacentral:rRNA from 1 species